CCUUGUCUUCAUAGAUCAUCGUCGUUUUGACAAAUGGCAUGAGCAAUUAGGGGGCUCCGUGGGCAUGCUUUUCCAUUUCUCAGGUACCUUCUUCUUCAUUUUUUUUGCAAAAAAAGUGAAAAGAAAUCCUAAAGGGUCUUAAGAGAUUC
ensembl:ncRNA F35G12.14 ncRNA